ACAGUAUUGCCAACCAAAGCCAUAAGACACCUAUUUCAAGGCAGGAAACUGCAUAGAAUGAAAUGAGAUACAGCUGCAAAUUUUGGCUGUGGCACUCUACUGUGAUGUGGGGCAACUAGAAUAAGAUAAGUGAAAUUGCCAACAGCAGAGUUGAUCCUUCCUAAGAAAAUAUAAUAAUAUUUCCACCCUGGUGCUUCAACAAAGCAUGGUGCUGAGCAUGAGGACGUCUUGUGACCCCAGGUGAAGACAGCCUACGCGGAAAGGAAGGAAACUGUAGGAUUGAAACAGUGGAUGAGCUACAGGAGUGGCUAUGAACAACCCUCAGUGAUAAUACUCUCUUGCUUACAGCCAGCCCCAAAUAAACAAACCUUUAGUUAUUAUAAAGUGUUUUGUUUUUAUCUUUAGAUUAAAUAUGACAAAAAUAUUUACAAAAGAGAGAAUAGAGGUUUCAAAG
rnacentral:lncRNA from 1 species